UAUGUGAUCGUCUCUCGCAUAUCAAUAAGCGGAGGAAAAGAAACUAACAAGGAUUCCCCUAGUAACGGCGAGUGAAGCGGGAAGAGCUCAAAUUUGAAAUCUUAAAGGGUUUCCCUUUACGAAUUGUAGUUUAAAGAAGUGUUUUCUGUUGAGGUUUUGGUAAAAGUUCUUUGGAAUAGGACAUCAUAGAGGGUGAGAAUCCCGUAUUUGACCUUUACUUUCAACUUUGUGAUACACUUUCAAAGAGUCGGAUUGUUUGGGAAUGCAGUCCAAAAUGGGUGGUAAAUUUCAUCUAAAGCUAAAUAUUGGCGAGAGACCGAUAGCGAACAAGUACCGUGAGGGAAAGAUGAAAAGAACUUUGAAAAGAGAGUUAAACAGUACGUGAAAUUGUCAAAAGGGAAGCGUUUGACACCAGUGUUGUUUUUCUGAAAAUCAAUUAAAGAACUGUUUAUGCUAAGUUAUUUAGACUUUAUCAGCUAACUGUUUAGUUUUGAGCUUUUCUUUAAUGCACUUUUCAGUUAACAAGUCAACAUCAAUUUCUUUUGCUGUAAAAAAGCUUGAGGAAGGUGGCUUGAGAUUCGUCUUAAGUGUUUAUAGCCUCUUGCCUAUGCAGUCGGAGAGAUUGAGGUCUGCAGCGUAGAUCCUUCGGGGCUAAAUGCAUUUGUGCUAAGUUAUAGCAUUUUAUAGACAACUUGUUGACUAUGAUUUGUCUUGUAGCUUACUCGCUUAUGUUAUUUUACCUACGCUUAGGAUGUUGAUAUGCAUGACUGAUAU
rnacentral:rRNA from 1 species